AGCUUUAAGUUUGAUUCUUGCUUAUGAUUUUUAUAUUAUGAUUAAAAAAUACAUGAAAAUUAUAGUGUUCCUUUAUAUUAAAAAUUAAAAAUUAAAUAUAAUAUAAAUCUCAGUAUUUAAUUUUAAAAAUUAAUUAAAAUUAGAAUUGGUAAUCAUUUUAAUCCUGACUAAAAUUUGUGCCAGCAGUCGCGGUUAUACUUAGAGGGUAAAUAAAUAUAAUUUGGUGUUAUAGUAAAUUAUUAGUUAAAUAAAAUUUAUUAUUUUUUUUAAAGGGUGAAAUCGGUAUUUAAUUAUAAUAAUAAAUUUAAAAAUAAAACAUUAACAAACUAUAAAUUUUAAUAUAUAAACUAGGAUUAGAU
rnacentral:rRNA from 1 species